rnacentral:rRNA from 1 species
GUGGGGAAUAUUGCACAAUGGAGGAAACUCUGAUGCAGCGACGCCGCGUGAGCGAUGAAGUAUUUCGGUAUGUAAAGCUCUAUCAGCAGGGAAGAUAAUGACGGUACCUGACUAAGAAGCCCCGGCUAACUACGUGCCAGCAGCCGCGGUAAUACGUAGGGGGCAAGCGUUAUCCGGAUUUACUGGGUGUAAAGGGGGCGCAGACGGCGAUGCAAGUCUGAAGUGAAAUCCCACGGCUCAACUGUGGAAUUGCUUUGGAAACUGUAUUGCUUGAGUGCUGGAGAGGUAAGCGGAAUUCCUGGUGUAGCGGUGAAAUGCGUAGAUAUCAGGAAGAACAUCAGUGGCGAAGGCGGCUUACUGGACAGCAACUGACGUUGAGGCCCGAAAGCGUGGGGAGCAAACAGG